AGGUAGUCAAGUUAACAUCAACCACCAUCUUUUCUUCACCCUCACUAAGUAGUUUUGUUGCUUAAACUUAAAUUUCAGUGAAGAUGGAGGUUUAUUUUGAAAAGAAGGAUACAGCCGCUGUAUUGGGACACAGCUUCAAACUUCUAGAUGAACUCAGCUGAUUUCCUGUAAAUGAAGAGAGGAGGAGUCUGCAGUGAUCUAGUAACAUGAGAUCAGGAAGUGAACCUUGAAUAGUUCAGUCUUCAGUUCAGACUCCAUGUUGAGUGGACAGAGCAGAAGUAGGUAAACUGAAGGCUGAGGCAGGACUGAUUUCAGAUCAGAAGAUGAGUGUUUGUGUGGAGGAAGAGGAGGACAGAGCAGAGUCUCUAGUCUCCGGCUGUCUGUCUAUGAAGAGUGAUCGGUCCAAAAGUGAACCUCUGUACUUCAGUAAUGAACCUGGACCCUCAGACACAAAAGUUCAGUACAGACAGAGAGCAGAGUCUCCAGUAUCCAGCUGUCUGUCUAUGAAGAGUGAUCGGUCCAAAGGUCUUCUUCCUCCAGACUUCAGUAAUGAACCUGGACCCUCAGACACAAAGUAAGAGACUGUUUUUACUGUGAGCUGACCUGAUGAAGAUGAUGCAUUGAGGAUGAAGACAAAAUAUUCUGCUCAAAGAUUUAUAUUGCUGAUGCAGAACUAUUAGUGCAGAUACUGUUUCAGACUAAGAUGAUCUUAGUCUGGGUUUUAUAGCCACAAACUACUGAUGUUUUUCUCUGGAGCAAAACACCUGAGAACCUCCAUUUCAGAAUUUACUCUUCAAGAAAAUACUCAUAUAUUUCUGCCCAAACUUUAUAGUCACUGUUCAUAAUGUGGAAGAAUGUGCUUCAAAUGUUUAAUUAAUUUUCUCAUAUUUGAC